rnacentral:rRNA from 1 species
UCCCUACGUUCGGAUUGUAGGCUGAAACUCGCCUACAUGAAGCUGGAAUUGCUAGUAAUGGCAGGUCAGCAUACUGCCGUGAAUACGUUCCCGGGCCUUGUACACACCGCCCGUCACACCAUGAGAGUUGGGAAUACCCGAAGCCUGUGAGCUAACUGUAAGGAGGCAGCAGUCGAAGGUAGAAUCAAUGAUUGGGGUGAAGUCGUAACAAGGUACC